GAUGAACGCUGGCGGUAUGCUUAACACAUGCAAGUCGAACGCAAACUCUCGGAUCUGAGUGGCUGACGGGUGGGGAACGCGUGAGAAUCUGGCUUCAGGUUGGGGACAACCACGGGAAACGGUAGCUAAUACCCAAUGUUCCGUUAAGGUGAAAGAUUAAUUGCCUGAAGAUGCGCUGGCGUAUGAGUCGCUAGUUGGUGGGGUAAGAGCUCACCAAGGCGACGAUCAGUAGCUGGUUUGAGAGGACGAUCGGCCACACUGCGACUGAGACACGGCCCAGACGACUACGGGAGGCAGCAGUGGAGAAUGAUCCGGAAUGAGCGAAAGCGUGACGGAGCAAUACCGCGUGAGGGAGGAAGGUUCUGGGGAUGUAAACCUCUUUUCUCAGGGAAGAAGGUAAUGACGGUACCUGAGGAAUCAGCACCGGCUAACUCCGUG
rnacentral:rRNA from 1 species